UGGGGAAUUUUGCACAAUGGGGGAAACCCUGAUGCAGCGACGCCGCGUGAUUUAGAAGGCCUUCGGGUUGUAAAAAUCUUUUUUAUGGGAUGAAAAUGACAGUACCAUAAGAAUAAGGUCCGGCUAAAUACGUGCCAGCAGCCGCGGUAAUACGUAUGGACCGAGCGUUGUCCGGAAUUAUUGGGCGUAAAGGGUACGUAGGCGGUCUAUUAAGUCAGGUGUGAAAGCGUGAGGCUUAACCUCAUUAAGCACUUGAAACUGAUAGACUUGAGUGAAGGAGAGGAAAGUGGAAUUCCUAGUGUAGCGGUGAAAUGCGUAGAUAUUAGGAGGAAUACCGGUGGCGAAGGCGACUUUCUGGACUUUUACUGACGCUCAGGUACGAAAGCGUGGGGAGCAAACAGG
rnacentral:rRNA from 1 species